rnacentral:rRNA from 1 species
GACGAACGCUGGCGGCGUGCCUAACACAUGCAAGUUGAGCGACGAACCAGGGCUUGCCCUGGGGCAAAGCAGCGAACGGGUGAGUAACACGUGUGUAACCUACCCCGAUAACCGGGACAACCCGAGGAAACUCGGGCUAAUACCGGAUGUGCUCACUGUACUUCGGUUCAGUGCGUAAAGGAAGCUUCGGCCUCCGUAUCGGGAGGGGCCAGCAGCCCAUUAGUUUGUUGGUGAGGUAACGGCUCACCAAGGCCGCGAUGGGUAGCUGGUCUGAAGGGACGGUCAGCCAGACGGGGAGUGAGGCAGGGCCCAGACUCUUGCGGUGAGAAACAGUGGAGAAUCUUGCGCGAGGCAGGAGUGCGUGACGUAGCAACGCCGCGUGGGGGAAGAUGGAGUUCGGGUUGGAGACUCCUUACGGGAGGAACGAAGGAUAGGCGGUGAAUAGGCGACCGGAAUGACGGUACCGGCAGAAGAAGCCCCGGCUAACUACGUG